rnacentral:rRNA from 1 species
UAAUACGUAGGGGGCAAGCGUUGUCCGGAAUCAUUGGGCGUAAAGCGCACGUAGGCGGCCCGGUAAGUCCGCUCUGAAAGUCAGAGGCUCAACCUCUGGAGGCGAGUGGAUACUGCCGGGCUAGAGUCCGGAAGAGGCGAGUGGAAUUCCUGGUGUAGCGGUGGAAUGCGCAGAUAUCAGGAGGAACACCUAUGGCGAAGGCAGCUCGCUGGGACGGUACUGACGCUGAGGUGCGAAAGCGUGGGGAGCGAACAGGAUUAGAUACCCUGGUAGUCCACGCCGUAAACGAUGGGCACUAGGUGUGGGAGGUGUCGACUCCUCCCGUGCCGGCGCUAACGCAUUAAGUGCCCCGCCUGGGGAGUACGGCCGCAAGGCUA